GUUCUCACAAUGGGGCCAUAGGCCUCAGUUCAUCAAGAGAACUGAGCCUUUGAGGAUUUGCUAGGAAACUCUUGACUGAAGGGACGCCGGUGGAUGAAUCACUUUGUUUCUUAUGGAAAAGAUGAAAACUUUCUUUGUGGUUAUCUUGGCUACUGACUAUUUCUUACGUAGCCAAGAUGACUAUCGUGAGCUAGACAUUUCUCUAAAAUGGUUCUACACAAAGUCUAAGCAGCCAAGCAGUGGAUGACAUGCUGAGCUCCAGAGGAUGAAGCUUGAGUUCAAAUCUCUCUUGCCUAAGAUAUUUCUGGUAACAAUCCAUAUGCGAGCUAUGCACCUCUCUCUUAAAAUUCGAUACGAUGGAAAAUGCGGAAAGGCCAAAAGUCCUGAACAGAAUUUGAUUUUCCUUCCUUCAUCAUAAGUGAACUCAUUUGAAUUAAGCAUCAUCCUUCCUUCAAAAAGCAAAAUUCAUUAUAUUACCUUAUUUUUUAAAGAUCAAUAAAUUUUAUUCUACAGAAAGCUCUUCUUUAACUCAAGACAUAUUUAAUGACAUGCGCCAGAGUUGUGUUUGGUUCUAGAAAUGCAGAGUUGAGUAGGAAGUGACCCCUGACUUUGUGCAACUCACUGUCUGAUAGGCUAAUUGGACAACUCUUUCAUUUAUUCAGUAAAUAUUCUUUAAGGACUUACAAGACUGAGAGACUUGGAUAGACUCUGUGUCCUCAGUAGUAAUCAAAACAGGUCUGUGCCCUUGUGCAGUUUACAAUCCAGCGAGGGAACAAGAAAACAUAUGAUUAUUAAAAAAUGUGAUAAAAU
rnacentral:lncRNA from 1 species